rnacentral:rRNA from 1 species
UACAGGGGGUGCAAACGUUGCUCGGAAUCAUUGGGCGUAAAGCGCACGUAGGCGGUCUGUUAUGUCGGAUGUGAAAGCCCUCGGCUUAACUGAGGAAGUGCAUCCGAAACUGGCAGGCUAGAGUACUGUAGGGGCAGGCGGAAUUCCGGGUGUAGCGGUGGAAUGCGUAGAGAUCCGGAGGAAGACCGGUGGCGAAGGCGGCCUGCUGGGCAGUUACUGACACUGAGGCGCGACAGCGUGGGGAGCAAACAGG